rnacentral:rRNA from 1 species
UCCAGACUCCUACGGGAGGCAGCAGUGGGGAAUAUUGCACAAUGGGGGAAACCCUGAUGCAGCGACGCCGCGUGAGCGAAGAAGUAUUUCGGUAUGUAAAGCUCUAUCAGCAGGGAAGAAAAAAAUGACGGUACCUGAGUAAGAAGCACCGGCUAAAUACGUGCCAGCAGCCGCGGUAAUACGUAUGGUGCAAGCGUUAUCCGGAUUUACUGGGUGUAAAGGGAGCGUAGGCGGCGCGUUAAGUCUGAUGUGAAAACCCGAGGCUCAACCACGGGAGUGCAUUGGAAACUGGCGGGCUGGAGUGCCGGAGAGGUAAGCGGAAUUCCUAGUGUAGCGGUGAAAUGCGUAGAUAUUAGGAGGAACACCAGUGGCGAAGGCGGCUUACUGGACGGCAACUGACGCUGAGGCUCGAAAGCGUGGGGAGCAAACAGGAUUAGAUACCCCUGUACC